UUCAUUGUGUGGCUGGCAAGACCUAGAACCUAGAAUCUCUUUGGGUUCCAGUAUUCUCUUUGCGGAAUGGGGAUGAUAACAUCCAAAGUCCCGCCAGCCUCACUGAGAGCCUGGGAAGAUCAAAACACGCUGAAUCACAGUCUACCCGUUCGAGCUGGUAGUUAGCACAUGUUUGCGACGAUCAGGCGCCACGCUAAGUGGCUUACGUGCGCUAUCUCGUCUGACCAUCAUAAGGGCGUCAGAGGGUGCUUUACCGUGGACGGACCUCUAUUUAGGAAAACUUGGCAUCUAAAAGCCCACAGGGACAAAAUCGAUAUAUUAAGGGUUACAACUAAGACUCAAAGGGCUGGAUUUGUGCCUAGUAAGUGA
ensembl:lncRNA